rnacentral:rRNA from 1 species
GACGAACGCUGGCGGCGUGCUUAACACAUGCAAGUCGAACGAAGUGGCGAAUGGGUGAGUAACGCGUAAUCAACCUGCUCUUCCGAGGGGGACAACAGUUGGAAACGACUGCUAAUACCGCAUACGGUAGGCGGGGAUUGCGUCGGAUUAGCUAGUUGGAGGGGUAACGGCCCACAAAGGCGAUGAUACGUAGCCGGUCUUAGAGGAUGAACGGCCACCUUGGGACUGAGACACGGCCCAGACUCCUACGGGAGGCAGCAGUGGGGAAUCUUCCGCAAUGGGCGAAAGUCUUACGGAGCAACGCCGCGUGAGUGAUGACGGCCUUCGGGUUGUAAAGCUCUGUUAAUCGGGACGCGGUACCGGAAUAGAAAGCCACGGCUAACUACGUGCCAGCAGCCGCGGUAAUUC